GCCUCGCUGGUGUAAUGGUAGCACGAGCCCCCGGUACGAGUAACGCGGGUUCAACUCCCGCCCGAGGUU